CCCGGCCCGGGCGCUCGCAGGAGCGGCCCCGCGAGCACACCAAGGAAACAGAGCUUCACUGGCUGCAGUGCCUUGAUCCACUUUGGAAAUUAGGAGCUACUUAACUAGAGUGAAUAGCAGUAUAAUGGAACAGGCCUAAGGGUGCCAAAAGUCUUUUUUAACUAGUGUCUCGUUUCCAAAAGUAACUAUGACCAGGUAUGAAGAAAACGAGUGAGAACUCUACAAGCAUAUAUAGUAUUUUCCCAGCUACUCCCGCAGCUUCCAACCAGAUGACAUCCUCAGCUGAAUGCUUUGGGGUACCACAGGUCUACUGCCAUUUUUAGGGAGCAUCCUCUUGGCACGUGUUGAAGCUGAGGCCCCUUAACUCCAGUCGCGACCACCCUUGCUCGUGUAUGAAAGGAGAGAGCGAGCCGUCGGUUCCAGCGCAUGCUGUCUGCCCCGCUCCCGACCGUCCUCCUCCAUACGAGCCUCUAAGCAGGCUGUUCGGAGCGGAGCCUUUUCAGGUCUCCCAGACCACUGCCUUCCUCACCUGCUAAAGCAUCGUCUUGGCCUCUGGGAGGAAGGCAAUGCUGAGGCAUCGCAGCCUUUCUUGACUGGACGCUGCAGGGAACAGGUCUGCCCGUGGUGAACUGCCUCACAGAAGUCCUUGUAUUGUUUCCUUUUCUAUCUGCCAGGGACAGGUCUGAUAGAUUUUUCUCACAUGUAAUAUGAUCAUUUAAAAUCAUUGCUUUUACAUAAUAAUAGAUGUUUGUCUACAGCUUGCUUCAUUUUAGAGAGUGUCAGAUAUAAAGCCCUACCAGUGACAAAUGUUUCCUUUUUUCUUAAUAUGCACUUUCCACAAUAUUUUUCAUUUAACAGUCUUAACUUUUUGAUCAAAUAAGAAAGCUGUUUUAUGGGCUUGCUAAUUUGAGACUAGCUAGGAUGAAACUGAAGACACCAUCCAAUAACCUUUGUAAAUGUUUGCUUUGUAUGUUUCUCAGGAAGCUUCACAAGCCAAUUAUUUCAGUUUCCAUAGUGAGCCGAUUUGAUGUCUUUGCAGUGCAACACACAUCCUGUUAAGAGUUGUCGUUAACUCUGUUGGCUUCUUCGUUCUGUAUGGUGCCAAGUACUUUGCCGGAGUCCAAAUCAAUACUAAGUAACAAUGGAUGUUUUUUAGCCUUAAUUCCAGGUUUAGCUAUCACGGAUGAAACUGCCAACAGAUCAGAAGAAUGCAGGAGCUUUUUCUUUCCCCAUGGUUUCAGAAGGCUUAGUGUCUGUGCUACCCAGACUGGCUUUUAGCAUUUAGUCCAGAAACCUCUCUGUCCUGCUGUAAAACACUAUUUUCUGGGGGUAGGAAAGGCCACAAUUAUUAAAUGCCUGAAAUAAACAGUUAACGUCA